rnacentral:misc_RNA from 1 species
UGGUUCUCGCAUCGAUGAAGAACGCAGCGAAACGCGAUAGGUAAUGUGAAUUGCAGAAUUCCGUGAAUCAUCGAAUCUUUGAACGCACAUUGCGCCUGCUGGUAUUCCGGUAGGCAUAUCUGUUUGAGCGUCAGCAAAACUUCUCAACUAAUAUAUAUUUUAUAUGACGUUGGUUAUGGGUGUUUGGAGGAAAUUAGUUCCUGGUAACUAGCUCCCGCCUUAAACUUGCUGCACGACCGUAAGCUUAUGCUAGGUUAAUGGAGUGGUAUUUUUUUAUAAUUCCUGCAACAUUUCAUAGCUUAUAUGGCGUUAAAUUUGAUGUCAUUUGUUAUUAAAUGACUGAACUUUUGACCUCAAAUCAGAUAAGGAUACCCGCUGA